rnacentral:rRNA from 1 species
UACGUAGGGCGCGAGCGUUGUCCGGAAUUAUUGGGCGUAAAGAGCUCGUAGGCGGCCGUUCGCGUCGGAUGUGAAAGCUCAGGGCUCAACUCUGAGAUGCCAUUCGAUACGGGACGGCUAGAGGUAGGUAGGGGAAAGUGGAAUUCCUGGUGUAGCGGUGAAAUGCGCAGAUAUCAGGAGGAACACCGGUGGCGAAGGCGGCUUUCUGGGCCUUACCUGACGCUGAGGAGCGAAAGCUGGGGGAGCGAACAGG